ensembl:snoRNA SNORD36 Small nucleolar RNA SNORD36
UGGCAAUGAUGUCUGAAUUUCUUCACCUGAAACUCUGUGUAGAUUAAAAACGAGCUUUUUAACCCUGAGCAGA